GACGAACGCUGGCGGCGUGCUUAACACAUGCAAGUCGUACGGUAAGGCCCUUUCGGGGGUACACGAGUGGCGAACGGGUGAGUAACACGUGAGUAACCUGCCCACAACUUUGGGAUAACGCUAGGAAACUGGUGCUAAUACUGGAUAUGUGCUCCUGCUGCAUGGUGGGGGUUGGAAAGCUCCGGCGGUUGUGGAUGGACUCGCGGCCUAUCAGCUUGUUGGUGGGGUAGUGGCCUACCAAGGCGGCGACGGGUAGCCGGCCUGAGAGGGUGACCGGCCACAUUGGGACUGAGAUACGGCCCAGACUCCUACGGGAGGCAGCAGGGGGGAAGAUUGAACAAUGGGCGCAAGCCGGAUGCAGCAACGCCGCGUGCGGGAUGACGGCCUUCGGGUUGUAAACCGCUUUCAGCAGGGGCGAAGCUUUUUGUGACGGUACCUGCAGAAGAAGCACCGGCUAACUACGUG
rnacentral:rRNA from 1 species